rnacentral:rRNA from 1 species
GAUGAACGCUGACAGAAUGCUUAACACAUGCAAGUCAACUUGAAUUUGGGUUUUUACCUUAGGUUUGGGUGGCGGACGGGUGAGUAACGCGUAAAGAACUUGCCUCACAGCUAGGGACAACAUUUGGAAACGAAUGCUAAUACCUAAUAUUAUGAUAAUAGGGCAUCCUAUAAUUAUGAAAGCUAUAAGCGCUGUGAGAGAGCUUUGCGUCCCAUUAGCUAGUUGGAGAGGUAACGGCUCACCAAGGCGAUGAUGGGUAGCCGGCCUGAGAGGGUGAUCGGCCAAAAGGGGACUGAGACACGGCCCUUACUCCUACGGGAGGCAGCAGUGGGGAAUAUUGGACAAUGGACCGAGAGUCUGAUCCAGCAAUUCUGUGUGCACGAUGAAGUUUUUCGGAAUGUAAAGUGCUUUCAGUUGGGAAGAAACAAAUGACGGUACCAACAGAAGAAGUGACGGCUAAAUACGUG